rnacentral:rRNA from 1 species
UACACUCCUACGGGAGGCAGCAGUGGGGAAUUUUGGACAAUGGGCGAAAGCCUGAUCCAGCAAUGCCGCGUGAGUGAAGAAGGCCUUCGGGUUGUAAAGCUCUUUUGUCAGGGAAGAAACGGUGAGAGCUAAUAUCUCUUGCUAAUGACGGUACCUGAAGAAUAAGCACCGGCUAACUACGUGCCAGCAGCCGCGGUAAUACGUAGGGUGCAAGCGUUAAUCGGAAUUACUGGGCGUAAAGCGUGCGCAGGCGGUUUUGUAAGUCUGAUGUGAAAUCCCCGGGCUCAACCUGGGAAUUGCAUUGGAGACUGCAAGGCUAGAAUCUGGCAGAGGGGGGUAGAAUUCCACGUAUAGCAGUGAAAUGCGUAGAUAUGUGGAGGAACACCGAUGGCGAAGGCAGCCCCCUGGGUCAAGAUUGACGCUCAUGCACGAAAGCGUGGGGAGCAAACAGGAUUAGAAACCCUGGUAGUCC